AUUGAACGCUGGCGGCAGGCCUAACACAUGCAAGUCGAACGAGUGGCGGACGGGUGAGUUAUGUCUGGGAAACUGCCUGAUGGAGGGGGAUAACUACUGGAAACGGUAGCUAAUACCGCCUACCAUCGGAUGUGCCCUGAUGGGAUUAGUUAGUAGGUGUGGUAACGGCUCACCUAGGCGACGCUCCCUAGCUGGUCUGAGAGGAUGACCAGCCACACUGUAACUGAGACACGGGCCAGACUCCUACGGGAGGCAGCAGUGGGGAAUAUUGCACAAUGGGCGCAAGCCUGAUGCAGCAAUGCCGCGUGUAUGAAGAAGGCCUGCGGGUUGUAAAGUACUUUCAGCGGGGAGGCGUUACCCGCAGAAGAAGCACCGGCUAACUCCGUGCCAGCAGCCGCGGUAAUAC
rnacentral:rRNA from 1 species